ensembl:lncRNA
GCUGCCCCUGUGGCUGCAGAAGCUGCGACUGAGUGGCGGCGGCGACCGGGCCGUGGCGGAGGCGGUCAGCGUCCGGUGUCACGAUGGCCGGCUCUCCGUGGCCUUGGACCGGCACGUCCUGCAGGUACCACCCUGAUCGCGAGGAGGGGACACAACCGCUGAACUCUGACCUAAACCGACCCCUCACUAACAGACCCUGACCAUCACGGUGGCCGCCGCGACCCUGCGCGACCCUCACUGCCGGGCGCAGUCCAACGGCAGCCACUUCCUGCUGGCCUUCCCGGUCAUUUCCUGCGGGACGGAGGGGCUGCUGGAGGGCAGCAGCAGGGGCGUGCAGUACCAAAACACGGUGUUGCUCUGGAGUCAGGAACCGACCGGCAGCCUGAAGAACGUCACCACAGAGUCACGGCAGCAGGACCCCCGGUCCCCACUGGCCAUACAUAUCAGAUGCGUGGCUCCAGCCCCUGCAGCGCCCACAUCAUCAGACGGGGAGGUGGGGGCGCGGCGUGACCGGGGUCCCCCCUGGGCACCCGGAUCCCGGGCCACUCCUCUGCUCACCCUGCAGCUCUUCGUGACGGAGCAUUACGAGAACAGGCCGUCGGGGCCCUGUGUGAUCACAGCAGAGAACCGCGUCUACGUGGAGAUCUCCGCCCAGACGAGCUUCACCGGCGGGGUGGAGGUCCUGUGGUGCGUCGUCUCGCCCCUGUCUAACCCCCGAGCCUCCCCUGGUUGGCCGGUCAUCGCGAGCGGCUGCUCCAUCGACCCCUCGCUCAUCCUGACCCCGGCGAAGAAGGCGGGGGGUGACGAGGACGCGCCGGGAGCGGGGCGUGCCGGGGAGGACGAGCCCUCCAGACUGCGCUUCAGCUUCAUCCUGAGGCCGGUCUACAACAACUCCAUCCAGUUCCUCCACUGCGGCCUUCGCCAGUGCAGCUUCGCGGCCCAGGAGGCCAAGGUGCCCAGGGUCUGCCAGCGGGGCGUCCCCAUCCCAGGACUCGGAGCGCGGCGCGCCAGGGAGGAGUGCGAAUGGAGGAAUCUGUCUCGGCCCAUGCUGGUCACGUCUCCCAUGGUGCUGAUCGGACGCCUGCCGCCUCCUGCUGGUCAGUUGUGUUACUCUGAUGCUCCUGUCCCACGUUAACCGAGCUGUCCCAGCCGAGUCCCCUCUACAUUGAGGCUUAGUGUGUGACUUCAGACUUAUAAAUUCGUG